GCUUGCUACCUGACCUAGCGGCGGACGGGUGAGUAAUGCUUAGGAAUCUGCCUAUUAGUGGGGGACAACAUUCCGAAAGGAAUGCUAAUACCGCAUACGCCCUACGGGGGAAAGCAGGGGAUCUUCGGACCUUGCGCUAAUAGAUGAGCCUAAGUCAGAUUAGCUAGUUGGUGGGGUAAAGGCCUACCAAGGCGACGAUCUGUAGCGGGUCUGAGAGGAUGAUCCGCCACACUGGGACUGAGACACGGCCCAGACUCCUACGGGAGGCAGCAGUGGGGAAUAUUGGACAAUGGGCGAAAGCCUGAUCCAGCCAUGCCGCGUGUGUGAAGAAGGCCUUUUGGUUGUAAAGCACUUUAAGCGAGGAGGAGGCUACUGAGAUUAAUACUCUUGGAUAGUGGACGUUACUCGCAGAAUAAGCACCGGCUAACUCUGUGCCAGCAGCCGCGGUAAUACAGAGGGUGCGAGCGUUAAUCGGAUUUACUGGGCGUAAAGCGUGCGUAGGCGGCUUUUUAAGUCGGAUGUGAAAUCCCUGAGCUUAACUUAGGAAUUGCAUUCGAUACUGGGAAGCUAGAGUAUGGGAGAGGAUGGUAGAAUUCCAGGUGUAGCGGUGAAAUGCGUAGAGAUCUGGAGGAAUACCGAUGGCGAAGGCAGCCAUCUGGCCUAAUACUGACGCUGAGGUACGAAAGCAUGGGGAGCAAACAGGAUUAGAUACCCUGGUAGUCCAUGCCGUAAACGAUGUCUACUAGCCGUUGGGGCCUUUGAGGCUUUAGUGGCGCAGCUAACGCGAUAAGUAGACCGCCUGGGGAGUACGGUCGCAAGACUAAAACUCAAAUGAAUUGACGGGGGCCCGCACAAGCGGUGGAGCAUGUGGUUUAAUUCGAUGCAACGCGAAGAACCUUACCUGGUCUUGACAUAGUAAGAACUUUCCAGAGAUGGAUUGGUGCCUUCGGGAACUUACAUACAGGUGCUGCAUGGCUGUCGUCAGCUCGUGUCGUGAGAUGUUGGGUUAAGUCCCGCAACGAGCGCAACCCUUUUCCUUAUUUGCCAGCGGGUUAAGCCGGGAACUUUAAGGAUACUGCCAGUGACAAACUGGAGGAAGGCGGGGACGACGUCAAGUCAUCAUGGCCCUUACGACCAGGGCUACACACGUGCUACAAUGGUCGGUACAAAGGGUUGCUACCUAGCGAUAGGAUGCUAAUCUCAAAAAGCCGAUCGUAGUCCGGAUUGGAGUCUGCAACUCGACUCCAUGAAGUCG
rnacentral:rRNA from 1 species